rnacentral:rRNA from 1 species
UGAACGCUGGCGGCGUGCCUAAUACAUGCACGUCGAGCGAACGGACGCGAAGCUUGCUUUUCUGAUGUUAGCGGCGGACGGGUGAGUAACACGUGGAUAACCUACCUAUAGGACUGGGAUAACUUCGGGAAACCGGAGCUAAUACCGGAUAAUAUUUUGAACCGCAUGGUUCAAAAGUGAAAGACGGUCUUGCUGUCACUUAUAGAUGGAUCCGCGCUGCAUUAGCUAGUUGGUAAGGUAACGGCUUACCAAGGCAACGAUGCAUAGCCGACCUGAGAGGGUGAUCGGCCACACUGGAACUGAGACACGGUCCAGACUCCUACGGGAGGCAGCAGUAGGGAAUCUUCCGCAAUGGGCGAAAGCCUGACGGAGCAACGCCGCGUGAGUGAUGAAGGUCUUCGGAUCGUAAAACUCUGUUAUUAGGGAAGAACAUAUGUGUAAGUAACUGUGCACAUCUUGACGGUACCUAAUCAGAAAGCCACGGCUAACUACGUG